CUACGGGUUGCAGCAGUGGGGAAUAUUGCACAAUGGGCGCAAGCCUGAUGCAGCCAUGCCGCGUGUAUGAAGAAGGCCUUCGGGUUGUAAAGUACUUUCAGCGGGGAGGAAGGGAGUAAAGUUAAUACCUUUGCUCAUUGACGUUACCCGCAGAAGAAGCACCGGCUAACUCCGUGCCAGCAGCCGCGGUAAUACGGAGGGUGCAAGCGUUAAUCGGAAUUACUGGGCGUAAAGCGCACGCAGGCGGUUUGUUAAGUCAGAUGUGAAAUCCCCGGGCUCAACCUGGGAACUGCAUCUGAUACUGGCAAGCUGGAGUCUCGUAGAGGGGGGUAGAAUUCCAGGUGGAGCGGUGAAAUGCGUAGAGAUCUGGAGGAAUACCGGUGGCGAAGGCGGCCCCCUGGACGAAGACUGACGCUCAGGUGCGAAAGCGUGGGGAGCAAACAGGAUUAGAUACCCUAGUAGUC
rnacentral:rRNA from 1 species